rnacentral:piRNA from 1 species
CUCACAGAGAUCCACCUGCCUGUU